rnacentral:rRNA from 1 species
GAUGAACGCUGGCGGCGUGCCUAACACAUGCAAGUCGAGCGAUUCUCUUCGGAGAAGAGCGGCGGACGGGUGAGUAACGCGUGGGUAACCUGCCCUGUACACACGGAUAACAUACCGAAAGGUAUGCUAAUACGGGAUAACAUAUUUUAGUCGCAUGGCUGAAAUAUCAAAGCUCCGGCGGUACAGGAUGGACCCGCGUCUGAUUAGCUAGUUGGUAAGGUAAUGGCUUACCAAGGCGACGAUCAGUAGCCGACCUGAGAGGGUGAUCGGCCACAUUGGAACUGAGACACGGUCCAAACUCCUACGGGAGGCAGCAGUGGAGAAUAUUGCACAAUGGGCGAAAGCCUGAUGCAGCAACGCCGCGUGAGCGAUGAAGGCCUUCGGGUCGUAAAGCUCUGUCCUCAAGGAAGAUAAUGACGGUACUUGAGGAGGAAGCCCCGGCUAACUACGUGCCAGCAGCCGCCGUAA